rnacentral:rRNA from 1 species
UUCCAGACUCCUACGGGAGGCAGCAGUGGGGAAUAUUGCACAAUGGGGGAAACCCUGAUGCAGCGACGCCGCGUGAGCGAUGAAGUAUUUCGGUAUGUAAAGCUCUAUCAGCAGGGAAGAAGAUGACGGUACCUGACUAAGAAGCCCCGGCUAACUACGUGCCAGCAGCCGCGGUAAUACGUAGGGGGCAAGCGUUAUCCGGAUUUACUGGGUGUAAAGGGAGCGUAGACGGCGAUGCAAGCCAGAUGUGAAAGCCCGGGGCUCAACCCCGGGACUGCAUUUGGAACUGUGUGGCUGGAGUGUCGGAGAGGCAGGCGGAAUUCCUAGUGUAGCGGUGAAAUGCGUAGAUAUUAGGAGGAACACCAGUGGCGAAGGCGGCCUGCUGGACGAUGACUGACGUUGAGGCUCGAAAGCGUGGGGAGCAAACAGGAUUAGAUACCCCAGUAGAU